CCUACGGGGGGCUGCAGUGAGGAAUAUUGCGCAAUGGGGGAAACCCUGACGCAGCAACGCCGCGUGAGUGAGGAAGGUUUUCGGACCGUAAAGCUCUGUCGAGCGGGAAGAAGUGCAUGGUGGCUAAUAUCCAUUAUGCUUGACGGUACCGCUAAAGGAAGCACCGGCUAACUCCGUGCCAGCAGCCGCGGUAAUACGGGGGGUGCUAUUGUGGUUCGGGAGCGUGUAGGCGACUGGACAUGUAGGAGGUGAAAGCCCUGGGCUUAACCUAGGAAGUGCAUUUGAAACUGUUCAGCUUGAGUAAGGGAGAGGAAAGUGGAAUUCCUGGUGUAGAGGUGAAAUUCGUAGAUAUCAGGAGGAACACCGGUGGCGAAGGCGACUUUCUGGCCCUAUACUGACGCUGAGACGCGAGAGCGUGGGUAGCAAACAGGAUUAGAUACCCGGGUAGUC
rnacentral:rRNA from 1 species